GACGAACGCUGGCGGCGUGCUUAACACAUGCAAGUCGAACGGUGAAGCGCCUUCCUUUUUGGUGGGUGUGGAUGAGUGGCGAACGGGUGAGUAACACGUGAGUAACCUGCCCCCUUCUUCUGGAUAACCGCAUGAAAGUGUGGCUAAUACGGGAUAUUCUGGGUCUGUCGCAUGAUGGGUCUGGGAAAGAUAUUGUUUCGGUGGGGGAUGGGCUCGCGGCCUAUCAGCUUGUUGGUGGGGUGAUGGCCUACCAAGGCGGUGACGGGUAGCCGGCCUGAGAGGGUGGACGGUCACACUGGGACUGAGACACGGCCCAGACUCCGACGGGAGGCAGCAGUGGGGAAUAGUGCACAAUGGGCGCAAGCCUGAUGCAGCGACGCCGCGUGAGGGAUGGAGGCCUGCGGGUUGUGAACCUCUUUCGCCAGUGAAGCAGGCCUGCCUCGUUUGUGGGUGGGUUGACGGUAGCUGGAUAAGAAGCGCCGGCUAACUACGUG
rnacentral:rRNA from 1 species